UCUGCAAAAAUAGAAGGUCUAGCCUGCCCAGUGACCAAGUUAAACGGCCGCGGUACCCUAACCGUGCGAAGGUAGCGCAAUCACUUGUUCUUUAAAUGAGGACUAGUAUGAACGGCAUCACGAGGGUUACACUGUCUCCCACCUCUAAUCAGUGAAACUGAUCCCCCCGUGAAGAAGCGGGAAUAAACUUAUAAGACGAGAAGACCCCAUGGAGCUUUAAACUCAGUACCAAUCACCUAUAACCACACCACAAUAACCCGGUGAUCCUGAUUACUAGUUUUAGGUUGGGGUGACCACGGAGCAUAAUUAAACCUCCAUGUUGAAAAACUUCCUCUAAUCCAAGAGUGACAACUCUAAGAAUCAAAAACCGACAUACAUUGACCCAAAUAUUUUGAUCAACGAAC
rnacentral:rRNA from 1 species